UGUCAGAUUCUUGCUAACAAUCCUAAUUUGCAGCAAGGCUACUUUUCUAUUACAUUCUCCAAGAAACUCCAGAUGCUGAAGGACCUUGCUGAGAAAUGCCAAAUACCUACCAUGAAAGAUAUCGUCUCAGUUUCUGGUAGAAAGUUUAAAAAAAUGGUGAGGAAACUUUCCACACUUUUAAAACGAGAGUGAUGGGUCACAAGACAAGUCCACAGCGAGUGCAAAGCAUUGUAAACACAGCAGUGCUCUGCACCCCAUGGUGACUCUUGAGACACAACCUAACUGCAAAAGGCCAACCCUGUCUGCAAAGAAGAACUAGUCACCUGCUUCAGCACACAGCUCCCCCCUUUACUCUCUCUUUCUCCUAGCUUGGUAAAAGGUUCCUAGUCUGUGAGAGAGGCAUGCUUGCUUAGUGUGAGCUCUUCUCAGGUUCUCUGAAAUAAACCCGCAUGCAUUUGA